rnacentral:rRNA from 1 species
UACGUAGGUGGCAAGCGUUGUCCGGAUUUACUGGGCGUAAAGAGCGCGCAGGCGGUCGUUCAAGUCGCGUGUGAAAGCCCCCGGCUCAACUGGGGAGGGUCACGCGAUACUGAUCGACUCGAAGGCAGGAGAGAGAAGUGGAAUUCCCGGUGUAGUGGUGAAAUGCGUAGAUAUCGGGAGGAACACCAGUGGCGAAGGCGACUUCCUGGCCUGUUCUUGACGCUGAGGCGCGAAAGCUAGGGGAGCAAACGGG